ACGAACGCUGGCGGCGUGCCUAACACAUGCAAGUCGAACGGAACUUCUUUAAAGGAUUUCUUCGGAAUGAAUUUGAUUAAGUUUAGUGGCGGACGGGUGAGUAACGCGUGAGUAACCUGCCUCUAAGAGGGGAAUAACAUUCUGAAAAGAAUGCUAAUACCGCAUAAUAUAUAUUUAUCGCAUGGUAGAUAUAUCAAAGAUUUAUCGCUUAGAGAUGGACUCGCGUCCGAUUAGUUAGUUGGUGAGGUAACGGCUCACCAAGACCGCGAUCGGUAGCCGGACUGAGAGGUUGAACGGCCACAUUGGGACUGAGACACGGCCCAGACUCCUACGGGAGGCAGCAGUGGGGGAUAUUGCGCAAUGGGGGAAACCCUGACGCAGCAACGCCGCGUGCCGGAUGCAACUCUUCGGAUUGUUAACUUUUUUUACGAAGGACGAAGAAAGUGACGGUACUUAAUGAAUAAGCUCCGGCUAACUACGUGCCAGCAGCCGCGGUAAUACGUAGGGAGCAAGCGUUGUCCGGAUUUACUGGGUGUAAAGGGUGCGUAGGCGGCUUUGCAAGUCAGAUGUGAAAUCUAUGGGCUCAACCCAUAGCCUGCAUUUGAAACUGCAGAGCUUGAGUGAAGUAGAGGCAGGCGGAAUUCCCCGUGUAGCGGUGAAAUGCGUAGAGAUGGGGAGGAACACCAGUGGCGAAGGCGGCCUGCUGGGCUUUAACUGACGCUGAGGCACGAAAGCGUGGGUAGCAAACAGGAUUAGAUACCCUGGUAGUCCACACAGUAAACGAUGAAUACUCGCUGUUUGCGAUAUACAGUAAGCGGCCAAGCGAAAGCGUUAAGUAUUCCACCUGGGGAGUACGCCGGCAACGGUGAAACUCAAAGGAAUUGACGGGGGCCCGCACAAGCAGUGGAGUAUGUGGUUUAAUUCGAAGCAACGCGAAGAACCUUACCAGGUCUUGACAUCCUACUAACGAGAUAGAGAUAUGUUAGGUGCCCUUCGGGGAAAGUAGAGACAGGUGGUGCAUGGUUGUCGUCAGCUCGUGUCGUGAGAUGUUGGGUUAAGUCCCGCAACGAGCGCAACCCUUGCUAUUAGUUGCUACGCAAGAGCACUCUAAUAGGACUGCCGUUGACAAAACGGAGGAAGGUGGGGACGACGUCAAAUCAUCAUGCCCCUUAUGACCUGGGCUACACACGUACUACAAUGGAUAUUAACAGAGGGAAGCAAUACAGUGAUGUGGAGCAAACCCCUAAAAAUGUUCUCAGUUCAGAUUGCAGGCUGCAACCCGCCUGUAUGAAGAUGGAAUUGCUAGUAAUCGCAGAUCAGCAUGCUGCGGUGAAUACGUUCCCGGGCCUUGUACACACCGCCCGUCACACCAUGGGAGCCGGUAAUACCCGAAGUCAGUAGUCUAACCGCAAGGAGGACGCUGCCGAAGGUAGGAUUGGCGACUGGGGUG
rnacentral:rRNA from 1 species